AGAGUUCGAUCCUGGCUCAGGAUGAACUUUGGCGGCGUGCUUAACACAUGCAAGUCGAACGAAGCACUUUAUUUGAUUUCCUUCGGGACUGAUUAUUUUGUGACUGAGUGGCGGACGGGUGAGUAACGCGUGGGUAACCUGCCUUGUACAGGGGGAUAACAAUUGGAAACGGCUGCUAAUACCGCAUAAGCGCACGGCAUCGCAUGAUGCAGUGUGAAAAACUCCGGUGGUAUAAGAUGGACCCGCGUUGGAUUAGCUAGUUGGUGAGGUAACGGCCCACCAAGGCGACGAUCCAUAGCCGACCUGAGAGGGUGACCGGCCACAUUGGGACUGAGACACGGCCCAAACUCCUACGGGAGGCAGCAGUGGGGAAUAUUGCACAAUGGGCGAAAGCCUGAUGCAGCGACGCCGCGUGAGCGAAGAAGUAUUUCGGUAUGUAAAGCUCUAUCAGCAGGGAAGAUAAUGACGGUACCUGACUAAGAAGCACCGGCUAAAUACGUGCCAGCAGCCGCGGUAAAACGUAGGUCACAAGCGUUGUCCGGAAUUACUGGGUGUAAAGGGAGCGCAGGCGGGAAGACAAGUUGGAAGUGAAAUCUAUGGGCUCAACCCAUAAACUGCUUUCAAAACUGUUUUUCUUGAGUAGUGCAGAGGUAGGCGGAAUUCCCGGUGUAGCGGUGGAAUGCGUAGAUAUCGGGAGGAACACCAGUGGCGAAGGCGGCCUACUGGGCACCAACUGACGCUGAGGCUCGAAAGUGUGGGUAGCAAACAGAAUUAGAUACCCUGGUAGUCCACACCGUAAACGA
rnacentral:rRNA from 1 species